rnacentral:lncRNA from 1 species
UAGGGGCACACGGGGACCCCCCCCCAUGGGGAUAGGGACCUCCGUGCUAUGGGGACCCCGCAGUGCAAUGGGGACGUGGGGACACAAUGGGAUCCCAAUAUGUGAUGGGGAUGCUAUGGGACCCCAUAGAGCAAUGGGGACACAGCGGGAACCAAUGGGACCCUAUAGAAUAAUGGGGACACAAUGGGACCUUAUAGAGCAAUGGGGACACAACGGGACCCAACAGAACAAUAGGGACCCGACAGGACCCUAUAGAGCAAUGGGGACGCAAUGGGACCCCAUAGUGCAAUGGGGGCAUGGGGACACAAUGGGACCCCAAUACGUGAUGGGGAUGCUAUGGGACCCCAUAGAGCAAUGGGGACACAAUGGGAACCAAUGGGACCCCACAGAGCAAUGGGGACACAAUGGGACCCCAAUAUGUGAUGGGGAUGCUACAGGACCCCAUAGUGCAAUGGGGACAUGGGGACACAAUGGGGCCCCAACACAUGAUGGGGACGCUAUGGGACCCCAUAGUGCAAUGGGGACACAAUGGGACCCCGCUGUGCACUACAGGGACCUUAAUGCAAUGGGGACACGAGGGGACCCCAGAGCGCAGUGGGGGCAUGGUGACACGAUGGGACCCCAGGAUGUAAUGGAAACACUACGGGACCCCAAAGUGCAACGGGGCCACAAUGGGACGUGAUGGGAUGGCACAGCGCAAUGGGGACACGAGGACACAAUGGGGCCCCAACAUGUGAUGGGGAUGCUAUAGGACCCCAUAGUGCAAUGGGGACACAAUAGGAUCUCAUAGUGCAACAGGGACAUGGGGACACAGUGGGGCCCCAACACAUGAUGGGGACGCUAUGGGACCCCAUAGUGCAAUAGGGUCACGAUGGGAGCCAAUAGGACCCUACAGAGCAACGGGGACACAAUGGGACCCCCUGCGCACUACAGGGACCUUAAUGCAGUGGGGACACGAGGGGACCCCAGAGCGCAAUGGGGCCUCAAUGGGGACGCAACGGGACGCCAUGGGGCAGCGGGGACACGGGGACAGAAUGGGACCCCACAGCACAAUGGGGACACACUGGGACCCAUAGCGCAAUGGGGACUCAAUGGGACGGGCCCCUCCCAGACCCUCGUGCAGUGGGGCCACGCUGGGACCCAUAGCGCAGUGGGGCCACGCCAGCACCGCGCUGCACUCCGGGUC